GAGAGUUGCUGUCAGUCAAUGUUGACAGUAGUGAACUAGAUGGACCAGUGGUCGGGCUCUGUAUAAAGUAGCUUCUGGCAAUCACAUCUGCCGAUAGUGGAAAAAGUAAAGACACAUCCUUAGGAUGGGUGCCAAACUGACCAGGGAUCCCAAGAGUUUUGGCUUCUGAACCAUGUCCGAGAUUGCAGCUCAUUUACUUUGUUCCAAAGGACUAAAAGUGCCAUUAAGAACUAAGCCAAAUAAUACUUAUGUAGCUCCAUCCCUUCAGUUAAGUCUGCCUGGGUAGACCUUGCUUCUUAACCAUACUAGACAGUGGUACCUGUUAGGAGCUCAUCCUACUCUCAAGUAGGACCCUGGCUGGGACACAUGCCUGUCUGGCAUGUUCCCUCCCUCCUGGUCGUUCGUUUGGGAGCUUGAAAAGCUUUCUUCUGCCCGAACAUCACAGCGACCAAUGCCUACAGACAUCGGCACACUUAGGGAUCCGCAGAGUCUUUGCAGCUUGCGUAACAGUGCUCAGCAACUCAGCAUUUUGGCUAAUCUACUUUAUUUACAUAUAAACAUACAUGGAGCACUGCAACAUGGCUCCCUCUCUCUAGCAUCAGACAGCAAAGAGAAAGAACAAAGGACAAUAGUCCCACUUCGUGGAACACUGUAACACAAACAUCCUUUCUCCGUCACUUCUCAUUUUGUGGAGUCAAAACAUACACCGUCAUGUGAAAGACAACAAUCCCAUGACUGCAAUCAUGGAGCAGGAAUUCUAACAGGAAAUCAGUUUUCAAAUAUAAUUCAUUCUGGAAAACCAUUCAAGUUCUGAAAUGUUCGAAAACCGAAAACUCAGUACUGAAGACUCAAAAUGGAGAACUCAAUACGAAAGCCGCGUUUCAUGUUCAACUUCGGAGGCGCGUUCGAAAACUGAAGCAUUUACUUCCAGGUUUACAGAAUUCAGAAACCAAAACAUUCAUCAAUGGGUUCGUUUGAAAACCAAGCUACUACUGUAGUGUGAUUCAGUUUUGGGAAUGUGAUAGGAUCUUAUGUUAGGAACAGAGUGACAAAGAGGAAGAAUGCUGGGAAACUGCUAUUUGUAUAGACAGCUGUUAUCGAGUGUAAUGGUAACAGAGCACUACAAGGAGAAACUUGGGAAUGGGCCAGUAUGUCUUCAAAUGCUGACCCAAAAUACACUCAGAAGUAAGACAUCUGAAAGUUUUGCCUUCUGGGCUUCUUGGGCUCGAUUCAUGUAAUCUGUAUAGUGUUCCUUCCCCACACAAUGGAGAACAACUUCUCAGACAGGUGUGCAAAUGAAAUAUCUGAUGUUUUACUUGCGUGAUUUAGUUUCUUCCAUCUGCUUCAAUACCGACAGUUACUUUCCAGAGUAUUUGUCUCACUGAAUGCUGUUCCCUAGAAACUAAUUAGCAUUUCAUUGUGCAAGUAUUUCUGCUUACAUGGUGUUUUCGAACUAAGAAUGUUGCUAAUCCCUCUAUAAUUAAUGCUAAAAUGUCAUAAAUAAUGCUUUAAAAAAAGAAAUUAGAUGGUAGGUAACAUUUUAAUAUAAUUGUAUUUUAAUUGCAAAAUUACCAAGCAAUUCCCAUAAAUUAUAUAUCACAUUCACAUAAGUAUGACGUGAAUUACUUCAUUAUGAUUAAUGUAAUUGUGAAAACCACAUGAAUUAAUGAGGACUGUCCACUUAUUUCCCAACUAUGUUAAUGCACUAAAUGUUUGUUAUUUUAUUAACCAAUUGCAUUGGUACUUCUAAAAAGGGAGGGCAUAAAAACACAUGGAAAAGCAAUUGAAAAGAAGGCAAAGUAUUGAGCAUUUGUUAAACAAGUACAAAUAAAAGUACUGUAAAAGGAGAUUGUAUAAGAGUCUGCUUCUAUCAUGUAUGUGUCAGCAGCCCACUUUGUUUUGAAUUGGCAUAGCAAUGGAGUUGAAGAUUAUUAGGAGUUUUAAAUGCCAUUCUUAUUGUGAGUUAUGAGCUGAAUUAAUCCACCAGAAGAGGGGACCACAGGCAGACCAAGGCAGCAGCGUGGCGGUUGCACUAGCAGACUGCUACUUUGGGUCUCACCCACUAAAAUUUUAUAGGAGUUUUUUUUCCAAAAAGAUGCAACACAGAUUUGAAAUAUAAGUAUUUGCUGGCAAUCAUUUUCUUGGGUAGUUGGCUCAAUAUAUUUAUAUAUGCUGAGUUUGUUUGGUCAAAUAUUAGGUAUCUCCAUCUGCCACUCCUCACCUGUUUCCAGCACCACAGCAGUCCACAAAAUAAAAUAAAAACAUAGAAAUAUAAAUGGAGACAAAUUAGAUAGGACAGCAUGCAGGGGAUGGACGUACCACUCCCCAGUCUUUCGAACAGAAUCUUUUCUAAUCUGACUUUUGAAAUCUUCACAAUGUUAGCAAAUUUACAUUUUCAGGCAGUUUCUGCAUUAUGUCUGUAGCUCUCUCAUGGAGUUUUCUGCACACAUGAUGGUGGACAGUUCAGUUUUUUAAAAAGUCUAUCUUCUCUAAUUCCGGCUCUCUGGCACAAGGAAGGCUUAUUCUUAACACACGGAUAAAUCUCAAAGGGAGCUCCCUGCUACGAUAGAUAUAGACUUGGACAUCUGUUCCUUCUCAUUAAUCAGGCUUGGAAAAAUGACAGGAAAAAUUGUGACAUGUCUAUCUACAGUUCUCUGUUUGAGGUGAGGCAAGGAGAAAAGGAGCUCUGCAGGCUGAAACAUGCCCUCUGUACCUAAUUCAUCUUUUAAAAACAUUUGCUUAUUUAUUUGCAAUGUUGCAAACCACUUUUCCAUUUUUACAACUUACACAAGUGGGAAGCAGCAAUAAAAUAGCUGUAAAAUUCAAAAUUCAAAGCUUAGAUGAAAUGAUAAUCAACAUCAGUAAUAACUACAAAAAUACCACCAAAUAACAUUCAGAACACGCUAAAUAUGAAAUGCCAGUAUAAUAACAGACAGGACUUGCUGAAAUUUAUUUCACACAAUUCCCCAGAGUGGUUGGGGAAACCCAGCCAAAUGGGUGGGGUGUAAAUAAUAAAUUGUUGUUGUAUCCUGGCAUUUCACUUAAUAAAUAGCAUUUAGGGCAGCUUAUUACUACUACUACAACAACAACUAUUAUUAUUAUUAUUAUUCACUCUUCAUCUGAGGAUCACAGGGCAGUUGACUAUAUAAAAACACAAAAAUACAUAACAUAGUGACAGUAUUAACCCUUACACACAGUUUAAAUGUCAUAGAUUGUUAAAUUAGCCAAACUGUAAAACACAGCCUUAAAAUAAACAUGGGAAAAAAUGAUAAGGGUGCCAGCGGGGGGUGCAGUGCAGGCCAGAGGGUGUUCCUGGCUUCCUGAUCCCCAAGUAUUACUGCUGCUUACUGAGAGGAGAAGGGAUGCCGGACAGGAAGACUAGUGGAUAUUCUGAGCCCUGGACAGAUUGUGCUUCAAAUAUUGAACGUGUUCUAUGGAUUUAGCCCUGAAACAACCUAGUAAACCAGGAGAAGCUUUGUAAAGUUGAUGCUGCUCCUUCUCUGUGGUCAACAUCAGUCUUGCUGCCAACUCAAGCUUCUAAACGGCCUUCAGUGGCAGCCCCGUCUGUUAGCAUUUGCAGCAUGGUUGGCUAAGCUGUGCCCCUCCUGAUGUUACUGAGCUCAAACUCCCACCAUUGCUGACCAUUGAUCAUGCUGACCGAGCCUGUUGGGUGUUGGAGCUCCACAGUAUUUGUCGAGUCAGUAAUAGAGUUGGGAGGAUAUCAGGGAAAUCACAACAUUAUUUCCAGGAAGCAGUGCAGCUGGCAUAUCAAUUGAAGCUAAUAAGAUGUACUCAGGGCCAUAACUUCAAACUAAUAAUUAUAAUCCGUGAGAAGACCCAUUAGAGGCACUCCUGAUCCAAGCUGCGAUCCUGAUCCUUGGGAUGCAAUCCCAUGCAAAAUAGGAAUGUUCAGUUAUUUGAGACUGGCUACAGUAUUACUCCUAGGCCAGCCUUAUAUUGAAUGCCAUUUUGGCAUUUUGAGAGAAGAUUUUGGGCAGGUGAAACAUUUUUUGCUUCCUCUCUACACUUACACUUCCCAGAUAGCACACCAAAACUGUUGUGUAAGAAGGUACUCAAAGGUUUGUCCCCGUAGCCUGGUCUCCACCGCCAUGCGGCCAACCCCAACCACUUUAAAAUAUUGUUCCUUUCAGCAUAGAAUCUCUGUGUUGCAUUGUAGCUAUGGCCCAAGACCUACCCUAUGCAAAAACCUGCUUCUUUAAUCCCCUGCAGAAUGCUUGGCUAUUACGCCACCAAGCCACUGGGAUCAGCAGUGCCAAGGAAAUCACUUCUGGGAAUCUUCACCUGUUCAGAAACUCUGGAGAUGCUCUCACCUGGGCAGGGGUAGAGGCAGGGAGUUGGAAUGCAUCUUAACAUCUUCUGCAGAUGGAGAAAAGGGAACCGUGCCCAUUGUGAAAAUGUUUCAAUCUGAAAUUUCCUUCUGAAAUGUGUAGAACUGGUGGCCUAAUCCAUUUGCACUUACUGCUUCUGUGUAUUUUGAGGGGUAGAAUGGCUAUUUAUACAUGCUUCUUUGCAAGUGGAAAACAUGUUUUAAAAAAAUAAUAAUAAUCCAGUAGCAGGCAUUACUCACAGAUGGAAUUGUAGCGGUCAAUCCCCCAUUGAGCUGAAGGCUCUGUUGUUCCUGCUGCAGCUAUGCUGCUGGUGCUGUCUCUCUGCAAAACGAAAGCUUGGGGGCAACAGUUUUUCCAGUUAAUGCUCUGGAAAAGGAGCACGGGAUAUUAUUCAAAGCUGAGCUGCAAGGGUUGAUUGUAGCUUCCCAGCAGAAACUGUUUCUAAAACAUUCAGAGUUUCGGGAGAGCAAAUGGAUUUUAGCUUCCCUUCCGAUAGACUGAUAAAGAUGGGGCUUACAUCUAGAGUAGUUUUGCAUAAUGAUUAGCUUCCUCUUGGCAACGACAGGGUGCUGCUUAUCUCAAAACAACCCUAAGUCUGAACCCGGGAGAUGCACUCGCUUUGCCUCUUGGUUCAAGCUGUUUUUACUCAUUGCUAGUGGGCAACCAUUUAAAACAAAGCAAUACUCUCAUACAGAAGACAUCACAAAGGCAGGGUAAGAUACAGUUACACAGGCAUAUAUCUAAUGAGCAUAUUAAAAAGUGAGGGCUUCUCCAGAGGCUCUUCAUGUGCUACAUUCUUCUCACAGCCUUUCUGAUAUUAUUAUUAUUUCAUUACCCCAACUCAUGCAAUUAGAUAGCUUUGUAUCCCACCAACCAGUUCAAAAGAGGCUCCCUCAAAUUAUUCCAUCAUUUGCAGCAUUGUUGCAUCCUGUCCAUGCGCAAGAUUGCCUCAUAGUGGAGGCAAAUGUGAAACCUUACUUUGUGAAGAUUAGAUGCAUUCAUGACAGAUAGGGCCACACAGCAGCUAUUGAAAUGUUAACUAAAUUGAAUCUCCAUAUUGAGAGCCAGUUUACCUUUGAAUACCAGAUGCUGGUAUCUUCAAGUAGCAUCUGGCUGCCCAUGUCAGACAGAGAAUUUGAUUAGAUAGACUUUGAUCCAGAAAGGCGAUGUUUCAGUUCUUGUAAUAUCUUAAGACACUUUUACUCAGACAAGCAUAGUUUUGGAUUUUUAUUUAUUCUAACAUGCCAUCGCAAUAUCAACGAGCAGAGCGAGAUUCCAGGGGUUCCAGGCAAGGCACAGCAGAGGCUAGUGUCUUGAAGAAAUAUGGGUUAUUAACACAUAUUUACACCUGAAAGUCUACAGUAAGAAGGGGCACAGAAGAGUGUCUCUCGUUGCCCCUCUCUUAGCUUCAGCAAGCUUAGGUCUAAAGCAGCAGUCAGUCAUGGCUCUUGGUGCAGCCUCCUCCAGCCUCCAGCAUGGAGGUCUGGCCUGACCAGCAGCUCAUGAAGGUCUGCCCUUUGUUAUCCUUCUUCCUCUCAGUACAUCCUUAGAUUUUCAAGAAGUACAAAUUUUCCUCUGACAUCACGCCCCCCCAUCACCUUGGCAACCUCCCUUUAAUGGCACUCCGUUGUUUAUUACUGGCUCUGCACUUAAGCUAGCCGAUCAGUUUGCAUAGGCUAACCCAGGAAUUCCUCUACAGAUUGUAUUUUCCCUUCGAUAUCCCAGCUAUUAUCUAGAUUCUGACACUCAUUAAUUUCUUUGGUUGGGGGUGUUAUUCCUCUGCCCCUCAUGUUCAUAACAUUGUAUUAAUGAUGGAUAAUACAGUUGUUUAUAUAAUAACGUUGCAGGUGUUGACUGUUAUGAUGUGGUUGUAAAAUACCUAGAAACACAGACAACCAAAAUGGAAAGGGGCCUCACUAUGUGAACCACAAAAUGUCAAAGCAGGCAAGUGGUUCUCUGACUGACAUUACCUGCCUGUUCAUCUGAGGUCUGAUUCAAAGAUCCAGGGGUGAGUUGGCAACAGUUCCUACGACCUCCCUUAGCUGUUCCAUUGAUUGUUGUGUGUCUGGUUCAGACGGACAUUCUACAAUUUGUAACUACUGAGCAAGAGAACAUUUUAUUUCUUCUGGUGGGAAAAAGUGACAGGUAGUGAUUUCAAUCUGCCGGUCUCUCCAGUAAUGCUAUGUGUCAGUUUUUGCUAUCUUGGAUCAGAAGGGAGAUCAGGGGUCCAGGUGUGAGAUCCUGACAGGUAUUCAUUCCUGACUUUCCGUCUGACUCAAAUGCAUCUUGUCAUUUUGCAGUCUAUCGCAGCCUGAAAAUCUUUACUGGUCUAGGUGGGAGAUGCCUACAGGUAGCAAUUUCUGACAGCCACCCUGUCCAAAUCUGCUGCUUGUCUGUUUCUCUGGCUGGAGACUCCACUGCCUAGUUUUCAUAUGGGGAAAGAUUUUUCUCUCUCCAAACAAUGUCAUGUGGAACUUGCACCCCAGGUAAAAAAGCUAGAAAUAUCAGAGAAAGACAUGAACAUUGCUAUUUUUUUAUUUUUUGCAUGGAUGCAACUUUCAAAGAAACAUUGCUCUGUGUAGUACCAUGUCUGCCUGAGGACUUCCCUGCCUCUGAUAAGCACACUGACAAGUCUUAUGUCUGGGAAACCCAUCCUUUUAAGCAAGCCCACUUUUGCACAUAUUCCCAAAACAAUUUUGUUCUGAAAGUUAUAGCAUUUCUGCUCACAACAGCUGCCCCCUCCAUUUGGUUUGUUGCUUUAGGACCAAACCAGAUGUUUUGAUGCAAACUUGCCUGGAGAAACCAAUGGCAGCCUGGCACAGAAGAACUCCAAACCAGCAUCACGUAUUGCACACAUUGCAAAGCAUCUGCUUUCCUACCACACAAAUUGUGGUACUGGCAUAUGCUCUACUCAAGGCACAAUUGUCUUUAAAAAAUUCACAUGCACGUAGAAUGAGUGAAUGUGACCCCUGGAAAACAGGCCCUUAGUGAGAGCAUGUCUGCAGUGAACAUGCAGAAUAUCGUAGAAAUUGACGCAUAUAAAAAUAGAGGUGGUAUUAUCAGAGGACACAUGCUUUGAAUAUUCUCUGGAAAGUUUGGUUUCUUAAUGAUUUUCACACAUAGCCUUUGGGGGAGAGAGAGAGAAAUGAAGAUUUGCACAGCUCAUAGUGAAUGGAAAAUAAGAGUGAUGCACCUUUCGCAGAUGAAAAUGUGGAUGUGCUUAUUAUUAUUAUUAUUAUUAGUUUUUUUUAUUUGUACCCUGCCUUUUUCUCUGAUGGGACUCAAGGUGGCUUAUGGAUCAAAACAAUAAUGGCUAAAAGCAUAG